UUUGGAUUAGCAGUGAGGAAAUUCGGAAACACAAAAAGCAAAUGCAAGGUCUGCAAUGAAAAUCGACCGAUACCCGGGGGUCGGGCUAGUGGUUUUCUGCAAGAGGGUCGCCCCGUUGGCCAGUAAAAAAAGAUAAUAUUAUUUAUACACGUGCAAUACAUGCAAAGCACACCUGAGUUCAGAUACUGAAAGUGAACAUAAGUGGAACUUUGAUGAUCUAGGCCGCUCUAUUUUUGCAGCAACACCAGCAGGCGUCGGACAUUCAUAAAGUUGAAAGAACAAACCUAUGACUUGAACACACAAUUUGUGAUCUGAAUAUAGUUCACAAAUUUAAGGAAAGCAACUAUCAAAGACAUUCAGAUUGAUGGUUAGUACAUGUUAUAAGUGCCCAUAAAAUCAAGACAACAAUAUUAUUUUACAAUAAAUUAAAACAUAACCUGUCAGGGGCUGACAAAUGGAUUUUUAAGGCACUUGCCCAAAGGCAAGUACAUGGUCAAAAUUCACUUGCCCUACCUGAAUUUUUGCCUGCCCUACCAUUAAAUUAUACUGUUAUUAAAAAUUUAUAUAUAAAAAAUACUGAGUAGAACAUUGGCAUAGAUAUUGAUUUUAG